CAGGCCCAACAUCGCUGGGCUCAUCCUUGCUGGGUCUGCUGACUUCAAGACUGAGCUCAGCCAAUCAGACAUGUUCGACCCUG